rnacentral:lncRNA from 1 species
CUGAUUGGACAAACUUCUAGGCAACCAUUAUUAUCCUCCUCUUUCUGAACCAAAUCCAGACGAGGAUCUAAUCGGAUAGUUCCCCGAUCCUUGGCCAGGCUAGCCUCAAACUUCAAAGAUGGCUCUGGAUUUCUGAUCCUCCUGACUGAUUCUACCUGGAACUGAAGGCUUGCACCACAGUGAGAUGUGUUAAGGAUCAAAGUCGGCCUCACACACAUGAGGCCAGCACUCUACCAACUGAGCUACCUUCUGGCCUCUGUGAAUAUGCAGAUUGGAACUGAGACACCUUCACAGGCGAAAUGACCCAUCACCUUGGCCUCUAGAAUUGCCUCUGUGAUGACCUG